GUCAAUGAUGAGCUGGCAUGUAUUCUGAAUCUAAAGUUGAUUAUAAACCACUUUAGCUCUAGAAUUACUCUGAGACCUGAAAGAAAAAAAGUACUGAGAUCUGGCUAUGUGUGAGUCUGAGAUGUCACGAUUUCCGGAUGGUGAAUGGGAUCUCUGCUUUUUUCUUGGAAGGGCACACAGCAGAAAGACGUUACUAUCAAGUCAGAUGCGCCUGACACCCUGUUGCUGGAGAAGCAUGCCGAUUAUAUUGCUUCCUAUGGCUCAAAGAAAGAUGAUUAUGAAUACUGCAUGUCUGAAUACCUGAGAAUGAGCGGCGUCUAUUGGGGCCUGACUGUGAUGGACCUCAUGGGACAGCUUCAUCGCAUGAACCGAGAAGAAAUCCUGGUGUUUAUCAAGUCGUGCCAGCAUGAGUGUGGGGGAAUAAGUGCUAGCAUUGGGCACGACCCCCACCUUCUGUACACGCUCAGUGCUGUCCAGAUUCUUACUCUGUAUGACAGUGUUCAUGUUAUCAACGUAGAUAAGGUCGUGGCCUAUGUUCAGAGCCUACAGAAAGAAGAUGGCUCCUUUGCUGGAGACAUUUGGGGUCCCACUAAGCAGUUGGUCUAACUGGAAUAAAAUGGCCUGCUGGAAGUCCCAGCAUGCCCCGUGCUGGCUUGUCAGCACACCACACUAAAAGAUAAGGAGAAAUUGAUACAAGAUUCUCAUUUUGUGCGGUGGCAACUUUGGCUCUUUUGGGCAAGCUUGAUGCUAUUAAUGUGGAAAAGGCGAUUGAGUUUGUUUUGUCCUGCAUGAACUUUGAUGGUGGAUUUGGGUGCAGACCAGGCUCUGAAUCUCACGCUGGGCAGAUCUAUUGUUGCACAGGAUUCCUGGCCAUAACUAGUCAGUUGCACCAAGUGAACUCCGACCUACUUGGUUGGUGGCUUUGUGAGCGGCAGUUGCCCUCAGGCGGACUCAAUGGAAGACCCGAGAAGUUACCAGAUGUGUGCUAUUCAUGGUGGGUGUUGGCCUCCCUAAAGAUCAUCGGGAGACUUCAUUGGAUUGACAGAGAAAAGCUUCGAAGUUUCAUCUUAGCGUGUCAAGAUGAAGAGACGGGAGGAUUUGCAGACAGACCAGGAGAUAUGGUGGAUCCCUUUCAUACCUUAUUUGGCAUUGCUGGGUUGUCACUUCUGGGAGAAGAGCAGAUCAAGCCUGUUAGCCCUGUCUUCUGUAUGCCAGAAGAGGUGCUUCAGAGGGUGAAUGUCCAGCCUGAGCUAGUGAGCUAGUCAGAUGGGAGAGAUGCUGUAGUGUGCAAUAUGAAUUACUGCUGUAUUUGAAGUGUUUAUCAAACCUAGACGUGACUUAAUAUUUUGUAUAUCAUAUGUUAAUGAUAAAUUAUAUAAGUAUUGUAAAAUAAAUAUGUUGUAUUUAGAUCUUUAGUCUUCUGAGUCCAGUUUUUGUUAGUCCUAUUUAGAGCUGGUAUUUAACUGAUGCCUCCCCGUGUCCUAUUGUCGUGUAACAAUCAAUGAUGGAAAGUGAUUUCUGUUAAUAAAACUGAUGAGUGAAACUCAUAAUUUAAAUAAAGGUCAAAAUCAGUG